CGAUCCCGCAAAAACUAGUUAACAGCUAGCUACCCUAGCCAGCGGGCUUCCACUCGCUUCUCCCGUCAACGGG
rnacentral:tRNA from 1 species